GGCGAACGGGUGAGUAACACGUGAGUAACCUGCCCUUGACUCUGGGAUAAGCGCUGGAAACGGCGUCUAAUACCGGAUACGAGCUUCAGCCGCAUGGCUAGGAGUUGGAAAGAAUUUUGGUCAAGGAUGGACUCGCGGCCUAUCAGUUAGUUGGUGAGGUAAUGGCUCACCAAGACGACGACGGGUAGCCGGCCUGAGAGGGUGACCGGCCACACUGGGACUGAGACACGGCCCAGACUCCUACGGGAGGCAGCAGUGGGGAAUAUUGCACAAUGGGCGAAAGCCUGAUGCAGCAACGCCGCGUGAGGGACGACGGCCUUCGGGUUGUAAACCUCUUUUAGUAGGGAAGAAGCGAAAGUGACGGUACCUGCAGAAAAAGCACCGGCUAACUACGUGCCAGCAGCCGCGGUAAUACGUAGGGUGCAAGCGUUGUCCGGAAUUAUUGGGCGUAAAGAGCUCGUAGGCGGUUUGUCGCGUCUGCUGUGAAAUCUGGGGGCUCAACCCCCAGCCUGCAGUGGGUACGGGCAGACUAGAGUGCGGUAGGGGAGAUUGGAAUUCCUGGUGUAGCGGUGGAAUGCGCAGAUAUCAGGAGGAACACCGAUGGCGAAGGCAGAUCUCUGGGCCGUAACUGACGCUGAGGAGCGAAAGCGUGGGGAGCGAACAGGAUUAGAUACCCUGGUAGUCCACGCCGUAAACGUUGGGAACUAGAUGUGGGGACCAUUCCACGGUCUCCGUGUCGCAGCUAACGCAUUAAGUUCCCCGCCUGGGGAGUACGGCCGCAAGGCUAAAACUCAAAGGAAUUGACGGGGGCCCGCACAAGCGGCGGAGCAUGCGGAUUAAUUCGAUGCAACGCGAAGAACCUUACCAAGGCUUGACAUAUACCGGAAACGGCCAGAGAUGGUCGCCCCGCAAGGUCGGUAUACAGGUGGUGCAUGGUUGUCGUCAGCUCGUGUCGUGAGAUGUUGGGUUAAGUCCCGCAACGAGCGCAACCCUCGUUCUAUGUUGCCAGCACGUAAUGGUGGGAACUCAUAGGAGACUGCCGGGGUCAACUCGGAGGAAGGUGGGGAUGACGUCAAAUCAUCAUGCCCCUUAUGUCUUGGGCUUCACGCAUGCUACAAUGGCCGGUACAAAGGGCUGCGAUACCGUAAGGUGGAGCGAAUCCCAAAAAGCCGGUCUCAGUUCGGAUUGGGGUCUGCAACUCGACCCCAUGAAGUCGGAGUCGCUAGUAAUCGCAGAUCAGCA
rnacentral:rRNA from 1 species